UCCAUCUUGCAAACAGGAGAGGGACACCAACUACAGCAAGAGGAGCGGGCUGCUGUGUCUGGCCUGCCGCCGCCCCUCCCAAGGUCUUCUGCUCAUGCUCCUACUGGCUUCCACAGGUGGGAGCUCAGCACAUCAUACCCAGAAACGAAACAUUUUUAAACUAAAUGAUAAUGAGCUUGAAUGGAAACUAAAUGUCUGUUUUAUUGGUGUGCUCCAGCCUUGGCAUUUUCCCUGUUACCUGGAUGAAGAAAAGAUGAACGUACAAGGUGCCUGCCACACUAGCAGAUGUUGUUUAAAAUUGUUCAAGCAAUUUUACUGCCUAAAGGAGUCAUAAAACAAAGCCAUGUGAUGUACAAAAAGAAACAAUGAGACAAUCACCAAAGCAAGAAACUCAAAGAAACAGCUUAGGGCGGAAAGCGGAAUGUCCCCCGAGAACUAAGUAGCAGAAUAUCCUUGAAGAUUUUAACUUACAUACUUUCCCAUCAUUUGGGUUUAGCUGAACUAAGGGCAACUGCUCCCAGAGCAAUCAUUUUUCGCUGUGCUUCAAUUCUCCUAUCUACAUCAAAGGCUUUAUUCCUGCAAAAGUUUUUUGAUCUUUCUCAAUCUUAGCAUUCCUAUGUGUUUUCCUAAAGGGUUGGGCUUUGGCCUCCUAAACUAGAGGCUUUGGCCUUCUGAGCUACAGGCUUUGGCCUAAAUGAAGGGCAUUGGUCCUCUAAACUACAGGCUUUGGCCUUCUAUACUAAGGACUUUGGUCCUGAGAAAUACAUGUGUUUUAU